rnacentral:rRNA from 1 species
UACGUAGGGGGCCAGCGUUGUCCGAAGUUACUGGGCGUAAAGAGCGCGUAGGCGGGCCCUUAAGUGGGGGGUGAAAGGUUGGGGCUCAACCCCAACACUGCCUUUCAUACUGGGGGCCUUGAGUGCGGGAGAGGCGAGUGGAAUGGUCGGUGUAGCGGUGAAAUGCGUAGAUAUCGAUCGGAACGACCCAUGGCGAAGGCAGCUCGCUGGCCUGCAACUGACGCUGAGCGCGAAAGCCGGGGGAGCGAACAGGAUUAGACGUACCCUGUAGUC